CUCUAUUCGUGAUACCCUGUGACCGCUAUCCGAGUUAUUGAACAAAAUUGGCCAUUUUUUGCCAAAAAGGCGUGUUCGGAUCGACGGCUUCAUUUGAGCUUUUUGUAGGAUUUUCAAUCUUCUACUACCUUUAGAGAAGACACUUUUGGAUAUUCUUCGCCGUUUUCCUAAAACCGCAUGAAAAAGGAACAUCAAACACCUGUUGAAUAACGUGUUGGGCAUGAAAAUCAAAUAAUAUUUGACUUUUCUAUACUAUACAAUAUUAAAACACUCUUUGAAAAUAGUAUACCUAUACGGAUAUUUUUAUCCGAAUAUAGACCGUAAAUGUGUAUUUGGUCAUUUUUCCUAAGCUUGUGACCAUUAAUUCAACGGUUUUUCCCAAUUAUUAUGAAAACCACUUGAAAAAUCAAAGAAAUAACCUUUGAAUACACCAACUAGAUCCAAAACGUAACAAAAACGUUUGUUUUGUUAUUUUUUGAUUGGAGCAAGAUUUGGAAAAGGUGUUCACAGGACACAGACAGAAAAAAAAAAAAAUAAAUAAACACUCAUCACACUUAACCACCCAAUACAUUCCACGCCACGCUCGGGAGAUGAAAACGAAAAUACAAAAUUUUCAGAAAUACCGACAGCCAUCAAUCGAUUUUUAAAACGCCGUUGUAUUGAAUAAAAACAUCGAUGCACUUUUAGCCAAUCUCCGCUGUAAUACAGUAUGUAGCCAUAUAGUAGACAGAUAUAGGAAUUAUUGUUCAAACUCGUCCGACUAUAUAGCACAAAUACCUGACCAUAAUAUUAUGUAUACAAUAAAAAAAAAUUAAAAAAAUAAGGCGGUAAUAACAAUAAAUCGACAAAAUCGUAACGAAAAACGCAAAACAAAAAUGACCCAAUUGAUCCGUUUAUACGAAAACGACGACGACUACGACGACGGUAAUAAUAAGUCCAAAAGAUCACGUUUCGCUUUUCAAGCCAAGCACGUUCAGAUGUUGUCUACAAAUACCCCACACCUACGCAUUACCAUUAUUUAUCUAUAAAUAUAUUACAUAUUAUAUUAUUACAUACAAUAGACGCGUGACUAUUUUGUUUUUUGAUAAACUUUAUGUACGAAUAUUUUAAAAUUAUAUUAUGUCGUUAUGGAAGGUAAAAAAAAAAAAAAAUUACAAACAUUAAAUUAAGCCCUUCUUACCCCGGACCAAAUAUAUCGCUUAUUGUGUUUUUAUAAUGUUCAAUCGCCAAUAACAAAUAUGCGUAAUAAUUCGUUUUCGUAAUAUUUCUCCGACACAGUAUUAUACAUUUAGGAGGUACCAAUAUAAUUUUAAUACAUUUUGACAAAAACCGGACGUACUCAUUGCUCAGCGCCAGAGUAUGUCGCGUGUUGCAGACGAGAAGUGUGGAUGAUAUCUGUAAGAUGUACGGUAAUUGUAUUUAUUUACCCAAAGUGACGGUAAAUCAUUGCGAUCAAAAAUCGAUUCUUGUAUUAAUCGCGUUUUAACUUUUCCCUUAUUAAAAUAUAAUACGGGAGUAUAGUUGUCUCGAAAAUCAAUUAAAAAAAAAAAAAAAACUCACGUA
rnacentral:lncRNA from 1 species